rnacentral:tRNA from 1 species
UAUUUAAAUAGCUUAUACUUAGAGCAUGAUAUUGAAGAUAUCAAGGAAAUAGAUUCUAUUUUUAAAUA